UUCUGCAUGACGCGACCUUCCCUUUGGAGAUGACGUAGACGGUACAGAAGUCUGGCACCAUUUUCGUCACGUUGCCUGUAAUAUCAACCGUCUUGAAUCUUCUGUGCCAAGAGUUUUGUAAAUCUGUUACCUGACAAAGCCAUUCUUGGGUGAGGAACCGAUCACCAGUGUCUCGAUGGAGUUGUUCUUGACGUACUCGCUCAGGGCCUUUGCUACGUCCGAGUCUUCUAGUAUCACUUCAUGCACUUGAAUCUGAGCCCAGAAUUCGUAAGCAGCGGAAAGGAAGGAACAGUUCUUUUGAUGACUCGUUGUCAGAGAAACUCAUUCUACCUCCCACUAAAUCAUAUCAUCAUAAGAGGUAACAAUUAGAUUUAUAUCUUUGAAUUUUUAAUAACAUAGAUAGAUAUAUAUAGAGCGAGAGAGAGUACGUGGGAAAGAGCUCUUGAGUUUGACAUGAACAAGGGUGACAUUUUUGCCUUUGCCCAAGAGAUGAUCGACAGCCCAUUUCAAUGCAGCUUGGCUCCCUUUGUCUUUGUCGAUGGCUACCGCAACCGUCUCUUGGCUCUUCUCUCCAUUCCCUCUAUGGCUUGACAUUUUUUCAAUCUUGAUUCUUUAUUUUCUUCUUUGAAAGAGAAAAUAAAUUGUAGAUUGGCCAAAAGAGAGAAUGGAUGUGAGAAAAAGGCAAAAAUGUUAGAAAGUCCCUCAAGAUCUCUUUGUUCCCUCUUUGGAGAUGAGUAAGACAAUGAAUCCUGUUACAGAUUCAUUGAGGCAAAUGAAAUCCAUAUUGGAUGGAGUUUUGUGUAA